rnacentral:rRNA from 1 species
UACGUAGGGUGCAAGCGUUGUCCGGAAUCAUUGGGCGUAAAGAGCGCGUAGGCGGCCCGAUAAGUCCGCUGUGAAAGUCCAGGGCUCAACCCUGGAAUGCCGGUGGAUACUGUCGGGCUCGAAUCCGGAAGAGGUGAGUGGAAUUCCUGGUGUAGCGGUGAAAUGCGCAGAUAUCAGGAGGAACACCAAUGGCGAAGGCAGCUCACUGGGACGGUAUUGACGCUGAGACGCGAAAGCGUGGGGAGCAAACAGG